GCCCUGAAUCUACUAUUCCUCCACAGUCUUCAGCCCUAACUCUAGUUCCUUACUCCACCUUGUGUCUCCAAUAAUCCAAAGCCUCAACCAAGCCCCUCAAAAUCCUCAUUUUCUAAACUUCAAGCCCGUGGAGAGCUAUACACCGUCUCCACCUUAGGACCACUCUUGUUCUAGUCUUAAGAUCCAAACCCAGUCCUAGCCUUCCAAGCCAACAUCCUGGCUCUUGUUGUGGCCUCC
rnacentral:lncRNA from 1 species